UACGGGGGGGGGCAAGCGUUGUUCGGAAUUACUGGGCGUAAAGGCUCGUAGGCGGCCAACUAAGUCGGAUGUGAAAUCCCCAGGCUCAACUUGGGAACUGCAUCCGAUACUGGAUGGCUUGAAUUCGGGAGAGGGAUGCAGAAUUCCAGGUGUAGCGGUGAAAUGCGUAGAUAUCAGGAGGAACACCGGUGGCGAAAGCGCUCGUCUGGCCCAAUACUGACGUGAUGCGCGAAAGCUAGGGGAGCAAACGG
rnacentral:rRNA from 1 species